rnacentral:lncRNA from 1 species
GGGCCUCACUUGGAAAGCAUUCAGUUGGUCGUAUUGACUGAGUGCUUACUGGGUGCACAGCACUGUGCUAAACGCUUGGAAAGCACAGUCCAGCAACAGAGACAGUCCCUGCCCACUCCACCCUGCACCUCUCUGGGAGAGGUACCAGGCAUCACUCAAUAGUUGCCUGCAUGAAACUUUUCAGUAACCAUGCGACAGAAGCAAGUCUGCCCUUGGAUGUCAUCCUAAAAAUAGAGGAGGGCCCAACUUCAACGGGAAUGGCAAGUAUCUCUUUCCUGUGUUGUGCAAAACCAGGUUGUUGUAACCGGUUUGAUGACAGUUUUCAAGGAUCCAGGCCACCUCCUCAUGCUGCAGUCAAGCAGUAAGAGUGGGAUUCUGUGGCCAUUUCAUUGAAGAUUCAACCUUUCUCCUGUCAGGAGCACUCAAACUUGAACUGAACCAAUCCACAACAGACAAAGGAGAACACUUUUCAAGGUGAAACCAAAAAGCUUGACUUCAAGAAGGUUUUACACACUUUCUUCUUAGGAAUACGAUAAAGAUGAUAAAUAUAUCAGCUGUUUUCUUAUGUCUAUGCUGUGCAAUGUUAACAUUGGUAUUUUUCCUUGUUUGAAAUAUUGGUUUCCCUCGUUAUGGUUUUCACCAUUUGGCUGUAGGCCAUGGUUCAUGUGGAGAUGCUGUGGUGAAAUUUUUAACUUUUAAGGUUUCUUAUGAAUAUAUCCUUCAGAAUUUCUGUGUAUUAGAGGUAUUCCCAUAGCUUAUUUUGUCUUGGGUCAUCCUACCUGUAAGCAGAUGGAAGCGAUGUUUGAGUCUAUUCUUUUCUAGGAAAUGUUAUGCCUUUCGAUUCUAUUCUCUCAGGAAAUUGCAUCUUGGAUUCUUUCCAUGACUGACAGAUCUGAUGCCUGAGAUCUUUAAUUCUGGUCCUUCCCAAUAUUUUGGUGUAUUCAUUAUUUGUUAAUUCAUUAAUAAUUGUGAUUCAUCUGUAUAGAGCAGAUUCUAGUAAUAGUGAGAUCCUAUCAGUUGGUAAGGUUGGGUACAUUCCAGUAUAUAUGUGUGUGUGAAAGGGAGAGAGAGAGAGAUUCACCCACAUAAAGCAGAUUCUACUAAUGGUGAGAUCCUAUCAGUUCGUAAGUUUGGGUGUAUUCGAGGAUACACGUUUGUGUGUGUGGUGUUUGCCAUGCCUAUGUAUUUGUAUCUUAAUGCACCUGUUGCUAUUUUCUCUUCUUCAUUUUGGUGUCUGAUUUUACUGGAAUCUUUUUUAUUGGAAAGCAGCUGCUUUCAUCAUUGCCAGUUGAGCUGAAAGAGUUUCUAAGUGGAUCAGAAGUGUAUUCUGGUAUCUCGUUAUGUCCCCAAGAGUGAUGGUUUAGGCGAGAUCAACCCCCAUCUGUAUGAAUGUACAUUUCAAACAAUGAUGUAUAUGUGAGGUCAUUAUUUAUGCUUCUGGGUAUUUGUAAGAGUCUAGGCUCAGCCACGCACUUGGCCCACUGGAAAGAACACUGCUCUGGGAUUUAGGAUAUCUGGCCUCUAAUCUCUGCCCUCUUGGUAGCUGACUAACAUGAGGGAAGACUUGGCAGUAGGCUGCAUCCCUGCCUGCUUUCAUGCUCACUGAACCCACUCUCCCAGCUGGAAUGUUGUCAGGGAAGAGAGAGUGCAAGUUGGCCCUGUGCAAGUCACUAGUACUAUAAUCAAUUCCUCUGUGCAGAUUCUCCAUCCUAAAGUCUCAAGAAUCAGAUUCAUUUGUUGUUCCUGUUGUUCCUGUUGUUCCUGUUGUUCAUCACAUUCUAUUUUUUUAAUGGUAUUUCUUAAGCACUUACUUAAGUGCUUUCUGACUCCCCUAUUAAAUUGUGAGUUCCUCGAGUGAAGAGACUUAGACUUCUAGCUCCUUUUUAAUCUCCAGUUUAUGUAAUUCAUUCAGUUGUAUUUAUUGAGUGUUUACUGUGUGCAGAACACUGUACUAAGCACUUGGGGGGUACAGUAUAAUGGCGUCGGAAGACACGUAACGGUGUCGGAAAACAAGUUCACUGCCCACAAGGAGCUUACAGUCUAGAGGGGGAGAUAUGAUUAUCUUGAACAGAGUUCUGCACACAUUAGACACUCAAUACAUAGCAUGGAUUCAUUCUUGGAGCUUCUCCCACUGCCUUCUGCUCUUUCUAGUGGACUGUGCUUGCUUUGGUCUGAGCUAAACACCUGUAGGAAAACUGGGAAGAGAGAUUCAAGAAGUGAUAAAAACAUUUCAUCGUUCUUCGCAAGCAAACAAAAAUAACAUGAUUAGAG